rnacentral:rRNA from 1 species
CCUACGGGAGGCUGCAGUGGGGAAUAUUGGACAAUGGGCGAAAGCCUGAUCCAGCCAUGCCGCGUGUGUGAAGAAGGCCUUCGGGUUGUAAAGCACUUUCAGUGGGGAAGAAAGCCUUGGGGCUAAUACCCUCGAGGAAGGACAUCACCCACAGAAGAAGCACCGGCUAACUCCGUGCCAGCAGCCGCGGUAAUACGGAGGGUGCGAGCGUUAAUCGGAAUUACUGGGCGUAAAGCGCGCGCAGGCGGUCUGAUAAGCCGGUUGUGAAAGCCCCGGGCUCAACCUGGGAACGGCAUCCGGAACUGGCAGGCUAGAGUGCAGGAGAGGAAGGUAGAAUUCCCGGUGUAGCGGUGAAAUGCGUAGAGAUCGGGAGGAAUACCAGUGGCGAAGGCGGCCCUCUGGACUGACACUGACGCUGAGGUGCGAAAGCGUGGGUAGCAAACAGGAUUAGAUACCCCAGUAGUC